UAGCAGAGGGGAAAUUCUGAAAUGUUGAUACGACUCCCUGGAUACUACCCUAUGCCUGCUUUCCAUGAUGUACUGAUGUCAUUGAUGUGCCUUUUGUGGUGAGAAGAUUACACAAAUUUGGACCUGAGAUGAGAAAGGAACUAGGUAUUGCAGAUGAUGUUACGGUGGUCAUUUUCUACAUUUGAGGACAGAUUGCCAAGAUAAAUAGAGGAUGCAUGGAUAAGUUGUUUUUGGCAAGGCAGAGAAUGGGACUACUACCAAGAUAGUUUUACGUUAAGUUUCUAGAAAGCCAUUUUCAUGGUCAAUGUAUAUAAAAUGAUGUGAUGUCAUUUUCAGGGUCAAUGUAAAGAAAAUCA